ensembl:lncRNA
CAGCUCUCUAUCAAGUGGGCACACGUUUUCGAUGCUCAGGACUCACGAGGGCUGCGUUCCCCUCCUUAUCCCAACGCCCGUCGCGUUUUGCAGUGCGGCAGCACCCUCUUCUGUCAAUCCCUAUGUGGUCGAAGCCGCCGGUGCUUGCAAUGUCAGGCAGCAGCACCAAGAGCUAUGCCACAGAAUCCUCAGCACUUUGCAAACGAGGAAAUGAAAACAAAGGAAGGGAGAAAUUAAAAAGCCCGGCAGAAAGGAUAAAACUGGGGACAUCUGAUCUGGAAUGCUACCAUUACGGUGCUCUCGUGACAUUCGUACUGCAGUACUGACUUGGGAGGCUGCCCUACUUCAGGGCCCAAAAUAACCCUUCAGAGAAGCAUAGGACAAGAAACGAGGAGUUCCCUUCAUAUUUUUUUCCCUUAC